rnacentral:rRNA from 1 species
UGUAAGCGUAUACCAAAGUUGUUGCAGUUAAAACGCUCGUAGUCGGAAUUUGGCAGUUCCGGAUGUGUGCACGUCGUGUGCGCACUUCGCGGGGAUUGCUUUUGUGGUCUUGCGUAGGAUGAGGCACUUUUAUUAGUGAACGUCCGCACGCAACCACUUUUUACUGUGAGAAAAUCAGAGUGCUCAAAGCAGGCAUUUGCCGUGAAUGUAUUAGCAUGGAAUAAUAGAAUAGGACUUGGUUCUAUUUUGUUGGUUUGUUGGGACUGAGUAAUGAUUAAGAGGGACAGUUGGGGGCAUUUGUAUUUCGGUGCUAGAGGUGAAAUUCUUAGAUUACCGAAAGACAAACUGCUGCGAAAGCGUCUGCCAAGGAUGUUUUCAUUGA